CUCAAAUUUGAAAUCUGGCUCUUUCAGAGUCCGAGUUGUAAUUUGAAGAAGGUAUCUUUGGGUCUGGCUCUUGUCUAUGUUUCUUGGAACAGAACGUCACAGAGGGUGAGAAUCCCGUGCGAUGAGAUGAUCCAGGCCUAUGUAAAGUUCCUUCGAAGAGUCGAGUUGUUUGGGAAUGCAGCUCUAAGUGGGUGGUAAAUUCCAUCUAAAGCUAAAUAUUGGCGAGAGACCGAUAGCGAACAAGUACAGUGAUGGAAAGAUGAAAAGAACUUUGAAAAGAGAGUGAAAAAGUACGUGAAAUUGUUGAAAGGGAAGGGCUUGAGAUCAGACUUGGUAUUUUGUAUGUUACUUCUUCGGGGGUGGCCUCUACAGUUUAUCGGGCCAGCAUCAGUUUGGGCGGUAGGAGAAUUGCGUUGGAAUGUGGCACGGCUUCGGUUGUGUGUUAUAGCCUUCGUCGAUACUGCCAGCCUAGACUGAGGACUGCGGUUUAUACCUAGGAUGUUGGCAUAAUGAUCUUAAGUCGC
rnacentral:rRNA from 1 species